UGGGGAAUAUUGGACAAUGGGGGCAACCCUGAUCCAGCCAUGCCGCGUGAGUGAUGAAGGCCUUCGGGUUGUAAAGCUCUUUUGUCAGGGAAGAUGAUGACGGUACCUGAAGAAUAAGCCCCGGCUAACUUCGUGCCAGCAGCCGCGGUAAUACGAAGGGGGCUAGCGUUGUUCGGAAUUACUGGGCGUAAAGGGCGCGUAGGUGGCUUCACAAGUCAGAAGUGAAAUCCCCAGGCUUAACCUGGGAAUGGCUUUUGAGACUGCGAAGCUUGAGUACAGGAGAGGUGAGUGGAAUUCCCAGUGUAGAGGUAAAAUUCGUAGAUAUUGGGAGGAACACCGGUGGCGAAGGCGGCUCACUGGCCUGUAACUGACACUGAGGCACGAAAGCGUGGGGAGCAAACAGGAUUAGAUACCCCCGUAGUCC
rnacentral:rRNA from 1 species